AAAAGAAAUUGUUGAAAGAUUCACAAUUAAUAUGAUAAUCGAUUAUUUAUAUUUUAUGAAAGAACGAUGAGCACAAUUAAAAUAAAUAUGUAAGAAUCAUUCUUUAUUAUUUUUUGCUUUAUUUCAAAGUUUAUCAAACAUAAAUAAUGCUUCGCUUUAGCUAAUGUUUCUUAUAUACUUUAUAUGUUUAUAUUUGAUAGGUAUAAAGACCAACAACAUUAAAGUGAUGGAUGCAUUAUGAAGAUGAAAUUAACUUCAUUACUUUGACUCGAUUUGGUAUUGCUCCAAACCUUUUACCUUAU
rnacentral:lncRNA from 1 species